AUGGAUCUUCGGGGUAAGGUGAAAUUCCUGACCGGCGGUGAUGGUUCGUUCCUUCGCGAACGAACCCAAGCCCGCGACUCGCUGCGUUCUGUAUCCAACAUGAAUGCAGCGACUGACUUGGUGCAAUUCCAAGGCCGACGGUAAAGUCCGGAUGGGAGAAGAUCAAA
rnacentral:ncRNA from 2 species